rnacentral:pre_miRNA from 1 species
AAUUUAGUGUAAGUAUGCCCCAUGCAAUAUUUAGGACAUACUUAUACUAAAA